rnacentral:rRNA from 1 species
UACAGAGGAUGCAAGCGUUAUUCGGAAUCACUGGGCUUAAAGCGCGUGUAGGCGGGCGGGUACGUCGGCCACUGAAAGCCCCCGGCUCAACCGGGGAAGGGGUGCCGAAACGGCCGGCCUGGAGGGGCGUAGGGGGACCUGGAACUUCCGGUGGAGCGGUGAAAUGCGUUGAGAUCGGAAGGAACGCCCGUGGCGAAAGCGAGGUCCUGGACGCCAGCUGACGCUGAGACGCGAAAGCCAGGGGAGCGAACGGG